GACGAACGCUGGCGGUGUGCUUCACACAUGCAAGUCGAACGAGGUAGCAAUACCUAGUGGCGGACGGGUGAGUAACGCGUGGGAAUCUGCCUUAAGAUGGGGGAUAACGAGCCGAAAGGCUCGCUAAUACCGCAUAUGCCGAAAGGUGAAAGGAGUAAUCCGUCUUAAGAUGAGCCCGCGUCCGAUUAGCUAGUUGGUAGGGUAAAGGCCUACCAAGGCGACGAUCGGUAGCUGGUCUGAGAGGAUGAUCAGCCACAAUGGGACUGAGACACGGCCCAUACUCCUACGGGAGGCAGCAGUGGGGAAUUUUACGCAAUGGGGGAAACCCUGACGUAGCGACACCGCGUGAGCGAAGAAGCCCCUUGGGGUGUAAAGCUCUGUCAGCUGGAACGAAAAAAUGACGGUACCAGCAGAGGAAGCAUCGGCUAACUACGUGCCAGCAGCCGCGGUAAGUCUCGCGUGA
rnacentral:rRNA from 1 species